UUAAGCAUAUCAAUAAGCGGAGGAAAAGAAACCAACUGGGAUUGCCUUAGUAACGGCGAGUGAAGCGGCAAUAGCUCAAAUUUGAAAGCUGGCCCCUUUGGGGUCCGCGUUGUAAUUUGUAGAGGAUGAUUCGGCGAGGGCUCCCGUCUAAGUCCCCUGGAACGGGGCGUCAUAGAGGGUGAGAAUCCCGUAUGUGAUGGGUUGCCUUAGCCAUGUGAAUCUCCUUCGACGAGUCGAGUUGUUUGGGAAUGCAGCUCUAAAUGGGAGGUAAAUUUCUUCUAAAGCUAAAUACCGGCCAGAGACCGAUAGCGCACAAGUAGAGUGAUCGAAAGAUGAAAAGCACUUUGGAAAGAGAGUUAAAAAGUACGUGAAAUUGUUGAAAGGGAAGCGCUUGCAGCCAGACUUGUCCGCAGUUGCUCAGCCGGUCUCCUGACCGGCGUACUCUUCUGCGGCCAGGCCAGCAUCAGUUCGGGCGGUCGGAUAAAGACCUCGGGAAUGUAGCUCCUCUCGGGGAGUGUUAUAGCCCGGGGUGGAAUGCGGCCAGCCUGGACUGAGGAUCUCGCUUCGGCUAGGAUGCUGGCGUAAUGGCUGUAAGCGGCCCGUCUUGAAACACGGACCAAGGAGUCUAACAUCUAUGCGAGUGUUUGGGUGUCAAACCCAUACGCGUAAUGAAAGUGAACGGAGGUGGGAACCCUCACGGGUGCACCAUCGACCGAUCCUGAUGUCUUCGGAUGGAUUUGAGUAUGAGCAUAGCUGUUGGGACCCGAAAGAUGGUGAACUAUGCCUGAAUAGGGUGAAGCCAGAGGAAACUCUGGUGGAGGCUCGCAGCGGUUCUGACGUGCAAAUCGAUCGUCAAAUUUGGGUAUAGGGGCGAAAGACUAAUCGAACCAUCUAGUAGCUGGUUCCUGCCGAG
rnacentral:rRNA from 1 species